UUCAACAUGGCGGACGAAGAUNAAGAAAACGAAGAAAACAUUGAGAGCUCGCCUUGGCAGUAUAAAAAACCUCUAGAAUUGUUUGAAGAAAAGAAAAUAUUAAGAAUCUGUGCUCCAAUGGUUAGGUAUUCAAAGUUAGCGUUUAGGGAAUUGGUUAGGAGAUAUGGCUGCGACUUGUGUUACACACCAAUGAUUAUUUCAGAUUCAUUUGUUAAAUCACAGAAGGCAAGGGAUAAUGAAUUCACCACCAACGCAGGUGAUCGUCCUCUCAUAGUCCAGUUUGCUGCCAGUUGUGCCAAAGAUUUUGCAGAUGCUUCAGAGAUGGUUGCACAGUUUGCAGAUGGUGUUGAUUUGAACUGUGGCUGUCCACAAAGGUGGGCUAUGCAGGAGGGGUAUGGUGCUUUUCUGAUAAAAAGACCUGAGCUGAUUCAAGAUAUGGUACGACAAACGAAAUCAAGAGUCAAUGAUUUACCUGUUUCUAUCAAAAUAAGAAUUGAUAAAGAUCCUAGCAAAACUAUAGAACUGUGUCGACAAGCAGAACAUGCUGGUGCAUCAUGGAUAAGCAUCCAUGCCAGAACAGUGAAACAAAGAAAUGAACCACCAACCUGGGAUGUUGUAAAGCUGGUAAAGGACAGUGUAUCAAUACCUGUUAUUGCCAAUGGAGACAUAAAAUGUGAAACAGAUGUUAUAAAGGUUUAUGAACAGACGGGAGUUAAUGGUGUUAUGGCAGCGCAAGGAAUACUAAAUAACCCAGCAAUGUAUGCUGGGUAUGAUUGUACUCCAUUACAAUGCAUAUCUGACUGGGUAUGAUUAGAAGCAGUCUCCUUGGCAUCCANUAUGACUGUUGUCAUGGCACUCCAUCCAAAGGAGAGAUCACAUGGCAUGAUGCACUAAAACCGGAUGCAAAGGAUACUAGAUUAGGAUUACCAACUUCAUAAUUAUUAUUGACAUUUCACUGUCCCUUGGCACUCCAUUUUCUGCAUUCCACCAUCAUCUUAUAUUCAUGUUGGAUAAGAUUUUAUCCAAAGCAG
rnacentral:misc_RNA from 1 species